AGGGGAUUAGCUCAGUUGGUAGAGCAUCGGUCUCCAAAACCGAGGGUCGUGAGUUCGAGUCUCUCAUCCCCUG
rnacentral:tRNA from 3 species